CAGAGCCCGCCAGCUGCUAAGCCGGGGCCACACCUGGGGGUGAUUUUAGGUCUCACCUCCAGUAGGCACCUUGGUCUCUUUGGGCUAAUCUCUGGCUCCCUCGCACUAACUCUUGCUCUUACCCAGCUAAUCCUACCUGACUGCCCCAGAGGCUGCCCUGUCCGGGGGCUCCAGGCUCCUGGCCUGGCUCUGACUGGCUCUUAAUUAACCUCUCCUUCAUCUUGACUAACUCCUGCCUUUCCGGUCUGUUCCUUUCAGCAGAAACUAAUGGCUUGUGGAUUUCUUUCUGACUAACAACAGGCCUAACACUCAUUACUAUUAACAGCUUGGAUGUCAGCAUGGCUGGU
rfam:Otolemur garnettii contig069495, whole genome shotgun sequence.